rnacentral:rRNA from 1 species
UACGUAGGGGGCAAGCGUUGUCCGGAUUUAUUGGGCGUAAAGAGCGUGUAGGCGGCUAGACAGGUCCGCUGUGAAAACUCGAGGCUCAACCUCGAGACGUCGGUGGAAACCGUUUGGCUAGAGUCCGGAAGAGGAGAGUGGAAUUCCCGGUGUAGCGGUGAAAUGCGCAGAUAUCGGGAAGAACACCCGUGGCGAAGGCGGCUCUCUGGGACGGUACUGACGCUGAGACGCGAAAGCGUGGGAG